GGCGAACGGGUGAGUAACACGUGGGUAAUCUGCCCUCGAUUCUGGGAUAGCCCGGGGAAACCCGGAUUAAUACCGGAUAGCCUCUCGAGCUUACGAGCUCGCGAGAAAAGGUAGCUUCGGCCUCCGAUCGAGGAUGAGCCCGCGGCGGAUUAGCUUGUUGGUGGGGUAAUGGCCUACCAAGGCGACGAUCCGUAGCUGGUCUGAGAGGACGAUCAGCCACACUGGGACUGAGACACGGCCCAGACUCCUACGGGAGGCAGCAGUGGGGAAUCUUGCCCAAUGGACGAAAGUCUGAGGCAGCGACGCCGCGUGGGGGAAGAAGGCCUUCGGGUUGUAAACCUCUUUCAGCAGGGACGAAGCCACUCGGGUGAAUAGCCCAGAGGGUGACGGUACCUGCAGAAGAAGCCCCGGCUAACUACGUGCCAGCAGCCGCGGUAAUACGUAGGGGGCAAGCGUUGUCCGGAUUUAUUGGGCGUAAAGAGCGUGUAGGCGGCCAGACAGGUCCGUUGUGAAAACUAGAGGCUUAACCUCUAGACGUCGAUGGAAACCGUCUGGCUAGAGUCCGGAAGAGGAGAGUGGAAUUCCUGGUGUAGCGGUGAAAUGCGCAGAUAUCAGGAAGAACACCCGUGGCUAAGGCGGCUCUCUAGUACGGUACUGACGCUGAGACGCGAAAGCGUGGGGAGCGAACAGGAUUAGAUACCCUGGUAGUCC
rnacentral:rRNA from 1 species